GAUGAACGCUGGCGGCGUGCCUAAUACAUGCAAGUCGAGCGAACGGACGAGGAGCUUGCUCCUUUGACGUUAGCGGCGGACGGGUGAGUAACACGUGGAUAACCUACCUAUAAGACUGGGAUAACUUCGGGAAACCGGAGCUAAUACCGGAUAAUAUAUUGAACCGCAUGGUUCAAUAGUGAAAGACGGUUUUGCUGUCACUUAUAGAUGGAUCCGCGCCGCAUUAGCUAGUUGGUAAGGUAACGGCUUACCAAGGCAACGAUGCGUAGCCGACCUGAGAGGGUGAUCGGCCACACUGGAACUGAGACACGGUCCAGACUCCUACGGGAGGCAGCAGUAGGGAAUCUUCCGCAAUGGGCGAAAGCCUGACGGAGCAACGCCGCGUGAGUGAUGAAGGUCUCCGGAUCGUAAAACUCUGUUAUUAGGGAAGAACAAAUGUGUAAGUAACUAUGCACGUCUUGACGGUACCUAAUCAGAAAGCCACGGCUAACUACGUG
rnacentral:rRNA from 1 species